AUUGAACGCUGGCGGCAUGCCUUACACAUGCAAGUCGAACGGCAGCACGGGUGCUUGCACCUGGUGGCGAGUGGCGAACGGGUGAGUAAUACAUCGGAACGUACCUUAUCGUGGGGGAUAACGCAGCGAAAGCUGUGCUAAUACCGCAUACGCCCUGAGGGGGAAAGCGGGGGAUCGAAGACCUCGCGCGAUUAGAGCGGCCGAUGCCUGAUUAGCUUGUUGGUGGGGUAAAAGCCCACCAAGGCGACGAUCAGUAGCUGGUCUGAGAGGACGAUCAGCCACCGUGGGACUUAGACACUGCCCAGACUCCUACGGGAGGCAGCAGUGGGGAAUUUUGGACAAUGGGGGCAACCCUUAUCCAGCAAUGCCGCGUGAGUGAAGAAGGCCUUCGGGUUGUAAAGCUCUUUUGUCAGGGAAGAAACACCGGCUCUAACACAGUCCGGGAAUGACGGUACCUGAAGAAUAAGCACCGGCUAACUACGUGCCAGCAGCCGCCGUAA
rnacentral:rRNA from 1 species